AAUAGAUACCCAGGUAGUCCACCCCGUAAACGUUGGGAACUAGUUGUGGGGUCCUUUCCACGGAUUCCGUGACGCAGCUAACGCAUUAAGUUCCCCGCCUGGGGAGUACGGCCGCAAGGCUAAAACUCAAAGGAAUUGACGGGGACCCGCACAAGCGGCGGAGCAUGCGGAUUAAUUCGAUGCAACGCGAAGAACCUUACCAAGGCUUGACAUACACCAGAACACCCUAGAAAUAGGGGACUCUUUGGACGCUGGUGAACAGGUGGUGCAUGGUUGUCGUCAGCUCGUGUCGUGAGAUGUUGGGUUAAGUCCCGCAACGAGCGCAACCCUCGUUCUAUGUUGCCAGCACGUAAUGGUGGGAACUCAUGGGAUACUGCCGGGGUCAACUCGGAGGAAGGUGGGGAUGACGUCAAAUCAUCAUGCCCCUUAUGUCUUGGGCUUCACGCAUGCUACAAUGGCCGGUACAAAGGGCUGCAAUACCGUGAGGUGGAGCGAAUCCCAAAAAGCCGGUCCCAGUUCGGAUUGAGGUCUGCAACUCGACCUCA
rnacentral:rRNA from 1 species